AAAAGAGGAAAAAAAUAAAAACCAAGCGCGUUCCACGUCGGUCAACAAGUGCUCCGGUAGAAGAAACGCGCAGGAACACGCCGGCGCUGAUGACGUCACGCCGCGUUCACGUGCCAGCGGCUGAUGUUUCACGUUCACACCGUUCAAGGUCUCUGAACGCGUAACACGUGGAUCCUUGGAGAAGACGGGCUACAGAAGAUCAGAAGAUCACACCAGGGGCCACUCCUGUCAGCAGGAAACUGAGGCUACAAUUCACACGGGCUCACCAAAAUUGGACAACAGAAGAUUAGAAAAACGUUGCCUUGUCUGAUGGGUGUUGAUUUCAGCUGCAGCAUCCAGGCGGUGGGGUCAGAAUGUGGAAAGCAUGGCUACAUCCACAUCUGUCGAUGCUAUCAUGUCAAUAUGGAGUAAAAUUGCUGAGGAAUGUUCCCGACCCCCCAGUUUUUUUUGGAUUGGAUAGUUUUGGGUCUCUCAAUAAAUUUUCUUUUUUGUCA